rnacentral:rRNA from 1 species
AUAUCAAUAAGCGGAGGAAAAGAAACCAACAGGGAUUGCCUCAGUAACGGCGAGUGAAGCGGCAACAGCUCAAAUUUGAAAUCUGGCUCUUUUAGGGUCCGAGUUGUAAUUUGUAGAGGAUGCUUCGGCGUCGGCUCCGGUCUAAGUUCCUUGGAACAGGACGUCAUAGAGGGUGAGAAUCCCGUAUGUGAUCGGUUGCCCUUGCCAUGUGAAGCUCCUUCGACGAGUCGAGUAGUUUGGGAAUGCUGCUCUAAAUGGGAGGUGUAUCUCUUCUAAAGCUAAAUAUUGGCCAGAGACCGAUAGCGCACAAGUAGAGUGAUCGAAAGAUGAAAAGCACUUUGGAAAGAGAGUUAAACAGUAC